CUACGGGAUGCAGCAGUGAGGAAUAUUGCGCAAUGGGGGAAACCCUGACGCAGCGACGCCGCGUGGAUGAUGAAGGCCUUCGGGUCGUAAAAUCCUGUCAGAUGGGAAGAAGUGGUAUAUGCCUAAUAUGUAUAUACUUUGACGGUACCAUCAAAGGAGGCACCGGCUAACUCCGUGCCAGCAGCCGCGGUAAUACGGAGGGUGCGAGCGUUGUUCGGAAUUACUGGGCGUAAAGCGCGCGUAGGCGGUUGUAUAAGUCAGAUGUGAAAGCCCAUGGCUCAACCAUGGACGUGCAUUUGAUACUGUAUAACUUGAGUACUGGAGGGGGUAGUGGAAUUCCCGGUGUAGAGGUGAAAUUCGUAGAUAUCGGGAGGAAUACCGGUGGCGAAGGCGACUAUCUGGCCAGAUACUGACGCCGAGGUGCGAAAGCGUGGGGAGCAAACAGGAUUAGAUACCCCUGUAGUC
rnacentral:rRNA from 1 species